rnacentral:lncRNA from 1 species
GGGGCUCUGGCAAAGAUGAGCUCGGCUCAGGAGAUUUCCCUGUCGCCAGUGUUUUCUUCUCUUAUUCAUCACCUCAGGUAGCAAAGUUACUGACUUGGAGCCUAAGAAAACAGGCAAUAGAAGGAGAGGCAGAGAAUCACGAUGCACAAUUUGGAAAGCUUUCUGAAAACAAGAAUGGGUAAUGAUUGCCAAGAACCUGGUGUUGAGCUCAUAUUUAAAAAGAGCUCACGAAAUCUUCCAUCUAACAAACCUAGUUUAGCUGGAAAGAAAACAAUCAGAGCAUCAAAAAAGACAGAGAGACAGAAAGCUUUUGGAAACUCACGAUUUAGUCUGCAAGAGCUCAUCUGCAAGAUGCAUUCCUCAGUGUGACAACUAAGCUUGAGCUAGAAGAUUUGGAUAUGACCUAACUCAGUUUCAGAAAACCAGACAGCCUCACAAUGAAGCUGAAGCAAGACCCCAUGGAGUAUGGAACUAGAGCUGAGUGGAUCUCUUAAAACUGUCUUACAGGCAAAGAUGAAUCAAAGGCAGUAAGAAGGGAUGGAUGGGCAU